AGAGUUUGAUCAUGGCUCAGAUUGAACGCUGGCGGCAGGCCUAACACAUGCAAGUCGAGCGGUAGCACAGGAGAGCUUGCUCUCUGGGUGACGAGCGGCGGACGGGUGAGUAAUGUCUGGGAAACUGCCUGAUGGAGGGGGAUAACUACUGGAAACGGUAGCUAAUACCGCAUAACGUCUUCGGACCAAAGUGGGGGACCUUCGGGCCUCACGCCAUCAGAUGUGCCCAGAUGGGAUUAGCUAGUAGGUGGGGUAAUGGCUCACCUAGGCGACGAUCCCUAGCUGGUCUGAGAGGAUGACCAGCCACACUGGAACUGAGACACGGUCCAGACUCCUACGGGAGGCAGCAGUGGGGAAUAUUGCACAAUGGGCGCAAGCCUGAUGCAGCCAUGCCGCGUGUGUGAAGAAGGCCUUCGGGUUGUAAAGCACUUUCAGCGAGGAGGAAGGGCAGUGUGUUAAUAGCACAUUGCAUUGACGUUACUCGCAGAAGAAGCACCGGCUAACUCCGUGCCAGCAGCCGCGGUAAUACGGAGGGUGCAAGCGUUAAUCGGAAUUACUGGGCGUAAAGCGCACGCAGGCGGUUUGUUAAGUCAGAUGUGAAAUCCCCGCGCUUAACGUGGGAACUGCAUUUGAAACUGGCAAGCUAGAGUCUUGUAGAGGGGGGUAGAAUUCCAGGUGUAGCGGUGAAAUGCGUAGAGAUCUGGAGGAAUACCGGUGGCGAAGGCGGCCCCCUGGACAAAGACUGACGCUCAGGUGCGAAAGCGUGGGGAGCAAACAGGAUUAGAUACCCCGGUAGUCC
rnacentral:rRNA from 1 species